UAAUACAUGCAAGUAGGACGCACAGUUUAUACCGUAGCUUGCUACACCAUAGACUGUGAGUUGCGAACGGGUGAGUAACGCGUAGGUAACCUGCCUAUUAGAGGGGGAUAACUAUUGGAAACGAUAGCUAAUACCGCAUAACAGUAUGUAACACAUGUUAGAUGCUUGAAAGAUGCAAUUGCAUCGCUAGUAGAUGGACCUGCGUUGUAUUAGCUAGUAGGUAGGGUAAUGGCCUACCUAGGCGACGAUACAUAGCCGACCUGAGAGGGUGAUCGGCCACACUGGGACUGAGACACGGCCCAGACNCCUACGGGAGGCAGCAGNNNGGAAUCUUCGGCAAUGGGGGGAACCCUGACCGAGCAACGCCGCGUGAGUGAAGAAGGUUUUCGGAUCSUAAAGCUCUGUUGUUAAGGAAGAACGAGUGUGAGAAUGGAAAGUUCAUACUGUGACGGUACUUAACCAGAAAGGGACGGCUAACUACGUGCCAGCAGCCGCGGUAAUACGUAGGUCCCGAGCGUUGUCCGGAUUUAUUGGGCGUAAAGCGAGCGCAGGCGGUUAGAAAAGUCUGAAGUGAAAGGCAGUGGCUCAACCAUUGUAGGCUUUGGAAACUGUUUAACUUGAGUGCAGAAGGGGAGAGUGGAAUUCCAUGUGUAGCGGUGAAAUGCGUAGAUAUAUGGAGGAACACCGGUGGCGAAAGCGGCUCUCUGGUCUGUAACUGACGCUGAGGCUCGAAAGCGUGGGGAGCGAACAGGAUUAGAUACCCUGGUAGUCCACGCCGUAAACGAUGAGUGCUAGGUGUUGGGUCCUUUCCGGGACUCAGUGCCGCAGCUAACGCAUUAAGCACUCCGCCUGGGGAGUACGACCGCAAGGUUGAAACUCAAAGGAAUUGACGGGGGCCCGCACAAGCGGUGGAGCAUGUGGUUUAAUUCGAAGCAACGCGAAGAACCUUACCAGGUCUUGACAUCCCGAUGCUAUUUCUGGAGACAGGAAGUUUCUG
rnacentral:rRNA from 1 species